AUUUAUUGGACAGAGCAGUAAGUAAACCCGUAAAGUUAUGUUAUGUUGAUAUUAUUAAUCUAAGAUUUUAGAUUCCACAUCAGUAGUUAAUAGUCGACCAACGCCAAAUGCAAGGCGUCUAAUUAACACUUAUUGUGAUGAUGGGAAUAAGAUGUUCGACCAUGGUGCUGGGAGCAGCACAGAGCCCAUGGAUGGGUACAAAAACUUGGAGAAAUUAAUUUCAAGAUUGGAUACAAAAACCACGCAAGACAGCAAGUUCCAAGCUGUAAUGGACAGCAUUAAUAAGCAAUGCUGCCAGUGUAAAAAGAAGAAUGAUUUGCCUGAUUAUACACU